rnacentral:rRNA from 1 species
UUUGCUAUUUGAAAUUCAUUAAUAAUUGCACUAUAGGUAUAUAUUUUUUAGUUUGCGGUAGUUAUUAUGUUGAGGUAUAAUAAGGAAUGAGAGUUAUAAAUUAUAUAUUAGUUUCGUCUGUAUGGGAUCGUUGCCCGUUCCGCUGCCCCCGCCCGCCUACGGGAGGCAGCAGUAAGGAAUAUUGGACAAUGGGCGAAAGCCUGAUCCAGCCAUGCCGCGUGCAGGAAGACGGCCCUACGGGUUGUAAACUGCUUUUAUAUGAGAAGAACAGCUUUGACUUGUCAGAGUAUGACGGUACCAUAUGAAUAAGCACCGGCUAACUCCGUGCCAGCAGCCGCGGUAAUACGGAGGGUGCAAGCGUUAUCCGGAAUUACUGGGUUUAAAGGGUGCGUAGGCUGCAACGUAAGUCAGAAGUGAAAGCUCUCAGCUUAACUGAGGAAUUGCUUUUGAUACUGCGUAGCUUGAAU